rnacentral:lncRNA from 1 species
UUUCAGACCGAUGGCCCUGUGACCAGCGGGCAGCUCAGUCAGUUCCCAGGUGUUGUUGUCGCGGAUGGUGUGCAUCUCCUCUUCCAUCGCCUUUCUCCAGCACCCCUCAGCGAGUGCGUCGUCGACAUUCCCAGGCUCCUCAGCAGCUAGCAGGCACAACCCACUGUAUUCGAUCUCGACCGGCUCGGCGUGCUCGAUCACCUCCUUCAUCAAGCGAAAACGGAGCGCCACCCCUUCCGUAUCAUGAGUCUCUCC